CGUGUAGGCGGUCAGGUAAGUGGAAUGUGAAAUGCCCCGGCUCACCCGGGGACCGGCAUCCCAAACUGCCUGGCUUGAGUAUGGGAGAGGAUGGAGGAAUUCCUGGUGUAGCGGUGAAAUGCGUAGAUACCAGGAGGAACACCGGUGGCGAAGGCGUCCAUCUGGCCCAAUACUGACGCUGAGGCGCGAAAGCUAGGGGAGCAAACG
rnacentral:rRNA from 1 species